CAUGACCAAAACUAUAGACUAACUUAAUUAGUCGAAUAUAAUUUCAUCAUCGUCAAACUAUAAUAUUUCAUGCAAAAGGUUCAAAUACUCAAUAUAUUAUUAUCUAGAAUCUAAAUCCAAGAUUCCGACAAGAAAGUAAAGACUUGCAAACUCUUGAAGUUGUCUGAGAGACAAAACAGAGUGAUGAGUGGCCUACUUACAUUGGGUGAAGACCUUCGAUGACGAGAAUCUUGGGAGGCUGAAUAAGCUCAGGUGCGUCAAGAAGUCCAGUGACGUGAUUAUAAAUGGGUUUCUCGACGGCGAUACCACUCUUGAGAGCUUUGACUUGCUCAUACAUGAGAUCAAAGUCAUUGGCGCGUGGGUCCAAAGCAGUGACUCCUUUCUCUUUGCGACCGGUUCUGUCUAAGGAAUGGUAAUCGUCGAGGCAGAUCACAGUGGUCAUGUCACUGAUGAGUGUGUUGGAGUCAGGGUUCCCUCCCUUUGGUGGCUCGGCGGCUCCACCGAAGACACUGGUCAGCCUCCGCAUGAAGGUACUUUUGCCGCAUCCGGAGUCGGCAGCGAGUCCGAUCACCACGGUUUGUUGUGCGGCGCAAGUGAUGAUGGUGUUGAAUCUACGGUUGUUUUGGCGACGGUAGAAGAAGACUUGUUUUGAGGAGGAGGAGGAGGUAAAGAAAUGAGUUGAAUUGAGAGCUUGUGUUGAGUAGAUUGUUGAGACAGCCAUUGUUGUUGGUGAUUGGUUCCUCUUCCUCUUCUUCUCCGCCUAAGCUCUCUGUUUUUGUUUUGUUUUGGGAGAGCUUUGGUUGAGUGAUGAGGAUUUGGAUAUGAUGAAAGAAAUAUGGGUUUUUGUGUGGUGAUGUAAAGAUGUGAAAACAAAUGAGAGGAGGCAAAUGAGUCUAUAGGAAACAAAUGGCAAAUGAGUUAUGGUUUUGAUCUGAUGUGGUCUGUAAUGAGUGGCUCAUGUUUUGAUUUCCUCAAGUNNNNNNNNNNNNNNNNNNNNNNNNNNNNNNNNNNNNNNNNNNNNNNNNNNNNNNNNNNNNNNNNNNNNNNNNNNNNNNNNNNNNNNNNNNNNNNNNNNNNNNNNNNNNNNNNNNNNNNNNNNNNNNNNNNNNNNNNNNNNNNNNNNNNNNNNNNNNNNNNNNNNNNNNNNNNNNNNNNNNNNNNNNNNNNNNNNNNNNNNNNNNNNNNNNNNNNNNNNNNNNNNNNNNNNNNNNNNNNNNNNNNNNNNNNNNNNNNNNNNNNNNNNNNNNNNNNNNNNNNNNNNNNNNNNNNNNNNNNNNNNNNNNNNNNNNNNNNNNNNNNNNNNNNNNNNNNNNNNNNNNNNNNNNNNNNNNNNNNNNNNNNNNNNNNNNNNNNNNNNNNNNNNNNNNNNNNNNNNNNNNNNNNNNNNNNNNNNNNNNNNNNNNNNNNNNNNNNNNNNNNNNNNNNNNNNNNNNNNNNNNNNNNNNNNNNNNNNNNNNNNNNNNNNNNNNNNUAGAAGCCGGCGAGAGUUACUUCAGUUUGGUUUGCAUCAUUAAUUUUUCAUUCUAUUUUGUAUAUGCUGUGAAUUUAUUAUAAUGGAAACAAAAUAUGUAAAAUUUAAUAUUUUUAUUGAUGCAAAAAAAAAUUCACAAAUUCUCAGUUACAUCUUUUACCUUUCUUUCUCUUGCAAUUUAGAAAUUUAUGUAUUCAAUUUUCAGUCUUGUGAUAAAACAAAAUAAUAACUUACGAAUUAUCAAAAUUGAUAAAAAAAAAACUGAGAGGGCAAAAGAGUAAAAAAGAAAAGAAGAUGACGAGAGAGCCCAAAGCUUCAACGGAAGGCGUAAAGCUAAAAGCGUUACCAAACUAUCUCCCCAGUCUUGUCUGAAUUCUACUCUCAGCCACAAAACCCAAAAAAAAAAAAUGAUACUAAUCCCAACUUCUUCUUCAUCAUCUUCUUACUCGUGUUGUAGCCUUCCGCAAGCUUCCUUCAGUUCUAAUUCAUAUCCAUCGAAUCAGUCUCUGUUCCUCUCCAAAUCCGCUUAUCCAAUUCGCCAUGGUACUUAUGCUUCAAUCUGUUGAUUUGAACUCCUUCGCUAGGAUCUAAAGUCUUAUGCUUCAAUUUGUUUACUACUACUUCAGGAAGCAGAAAGCUGAAGACUUUGCGUCUCAGAGCUAAUUUCUGGGAGUCAAUCCGAUCUGGGUACUGAAUAAGAUUUUUACUUUUCUUACUCAUAUGAAACUUAGGCUGAUACGUUAAAUGCUUGAUUGAUUGAUUCAGGUUUGUAAAGAAUAAUAAUAACACGACCCAACUUGUGGAACCACCUUCUACAACCGAAGAAGAAGAUGAAGACACGGAACCAUUACUUCCUGUGGAGUUUACUUUGGUUGAAAGAACUCUUCAAGAUGGGUUCAUUGAAGAGAUCAUAUUUUCUUCUGGUGGUGAAAUUGAUGUCUAUGAUCUUCAAACCCUUUGUGACAAGGUUAGUUAAAAAGAACUACUCUUUACUCUCUUCCUUCUCGAUGUUAUUUCAGAAAAAAAAUAUCUAAUUUUAGAUAUAAAAUAAAGGUGGGAUGGCCUCGGAGACCGCUAACGAAACUAGCUGCAGCUUUGAAGAAUAGUUAUAUGGUUGCUACAUUGCAUUCUGUAUUGAAGCCAUCAUCAUCAUCAUCAGGUGCUUCAUUCAAGUAACCUUAAUCUUCAUUCAUCCGAUGUUUUGAUGAAUAUCUUAGCAGAUUUUGGAGAAGUUAUUUGACACAGAAGGAGAUAAUGAGCAGCAGCAGAAGAAUAAGAAGCUUAUUGGAAUGGCACGUGCCACGUCGGAUCAUGCCUUUAAUGCUACAAUUUGGGAUGUUCUUGUUGAUCCUGAGUAUCAGGUAACCAAAACAAAGAACUAACUCUUCUGUGUGUUGUUGUUAAUAAGUGUUGUUUUGGUUUUCAGGGUCAAGGGCUUGGUAAAGCUCUUGUGGAAAAGCUUGUAAGGGCUCUUCUUCAGAGAGAUAUUGGUAAUAUAUCUCUUUUUGCAGAUAGUCAAGGUAAUAAUACAAAUAUCAAAUCACCAUACAAACUUUUGUAAUCAAGACUUCUUCUUUCUUAGAGUUAUUGAGUUUGCCAUGCAGUUGUGGAUUUCUAUCAAAACUUGGGGUUUGAGGCUGAUCCAGAAGGCAUCAAAGGCAUGUUUUGGUACCCAAAGUAGCAGUUGGUGGGUUUGCAAAAGAAUGGGUCUUUACUAUUUGGCUGUAUGCUUUCUUAUUAUAUGGGUCGGGUCAAUAAGGAAGUUUACUAACUGUGCAUUUUGUAACUCGAAAUCGAUAUUUGUCUAUUUAAGAUUCAAACAUGAGUAUAUGAUCAAUAGGAAGAAACCUUUAUUUCCAUUGCUUAAAAAGGUUUGAUGAGGAAACUUUAAAAUGGAUAUAUUGUAUUAAUUUAAUUUUUUAUUGCUUUGCUAUUAACCUCUCUACAUUACAGAAUUUUCUGUUACCAUCUCCACAUAAAUUACAAACCAAAGCAAGAUAGUCCUUUUCGCCAUGAAAAAAAAAAUCCAUAAAAGAAGGAAAGAAGAAACUGCAAACGGGUUUAUAGACGGGUUAUAAUUUGGUUUUUGUUUUAGGCUUUAGCAGCUUCUGCAGGAGCAGUUGCUUUGUUGGCAAUGAGCUGCUCAUAGAGAUCUCUGAUCUUCAAUCCAACAAUGGUCUGGAAAAGUCCAGUUCCAUUGUUGCUACCAGGGAAAUCAGCAUGUUUCAGCAUUUGUUGAGUCACUUCCCCGUAGAAUUUGGUCGAGAGGUUGCUCAGAUGGCUCUCCACAUAAAUCAGCUCGUCCAGUCUAUCGAAUUGCCCGUCCAUCUCAACAACCGAAACCUGAAACAGAGAGAACAAAAUGCUCAAACCAAGAGCUAAAACAAAAAAAAAACGAAACUCAUUCUGCAAUAUCAACCAAUGUACCUCAUGGUCGAAGUAGGAAUCAGGUGCAUAGUUGAACUUGAUACCAGGGUACGAGCAGGUGAGUUUGCGGCCGCAAGGGAUCCACGAGAUGGUUGAACCUUCAUCGAAUAGGUAGACCGGGCUAAAGUACUUAACACCUUCCUUCAUUAUCAACCUCACUCUCAACACUUUGCCUUCAUUGUCAUCUGGAAUCAGCUGUGUUGGAAGCACUUCUAUCACCGCAUCCGCGUACUGCUUUUGUGGGUCUGCAUAAGCCAUUUGAUGCACAUUGUUAUCAACAAAAUUUUCCAGGAAAUGAAGACUGAAUAUGAGUUUAUACCAAUGAAUGCAUCGAAGUCAGGCUUUCGUGCUUCGAUACUCGCUUUGAUGCUCUCUAAGCUGUGACCUCUUUCAGCCAUGUCCCUCUGUGACACAAACUCGUUUGAUACGUUACAUUGUCACGGUCGAAAUCUUAUGUAUAUAUAUAAGAUGAAAUAGAUAAAGAAACACACCUGAAUUUUCCAAGCGAACUUGACCUCAUUACUAAUGUCUAGGUAGAUACUGAAGUCCAAUAAGUCUCUUACCCUCUCAUCAAACCUUCACAAGUAGAUAAAACAUUAUUAUAAAAAUAUUGCAUGACCAAAACUAUAGACUAACUUAAUUAAUUAGUCGAAUAUAAUUUCAUCAUCGUCAAACUAUAAUACUUAAUGCAAAAGGUUCAAAUAUUCAUUAUAUUAUUAUCUAAAAUCUAAAUCCAAGAUUCCGACAAGAAACUAAAAGACUUCCAAACUAUUGAAGUUGUCUGAAAAACAAAACAUAGUGAGUGGCCUACUUACAUUGGGUGAAGACCUUCGAUGACGAGAAUCUUGGGAGGCUGAAUAAGCUCAGGUGCGUCAAGAAGUCCAGUGACGUGAUUAUAAAUGGGUUUCUCGACGGCUAUACCACUCUUGAGAGCUUUGACUUGCUCAUACAUGAGAUCAAAGUCAUUGGCGCGUGGGUCCAAAGCAGUGACUCCUUUCUCUUUGCGACCGGUUCUGUCUAAGGAAUGGUAAUCGUCGAGGCAGAUCACAGUGGUCAUGUCACUGAUGAGUGUGUUGGAGUCAGGGUUCCCUCCCUUUGGUGGCUCGGCGGCUCCACCGAAGACACUGGUCAGCCUCCGCAUGAAGGUACUUUUGCCGCAUCCGGAGUCGGCAGCGAGUCCGAUCACCACGGUUUGUUGUGCGGCGCAAGUGAUGAUGGUGUUGAAUCUACGGUUGUUUUGGCGACGGUAGAAGAAGACUUGUUUUGAGGAGGAGGAGGAGGUAAAGAAAUGAGUUGAAUUGAGAGCUUGUGUUGAGUAGAUUGUUGAGACAGCCAUUGUUGUUGGUGAUUGGUUCCUCUUCCUCUUCUUCUCCGCCUAAGCUCUCUGUUUUUGUUUUGUUUUGGGAGAGCUUUGGUUGAGUGAUGAGGAUUUGGAUAUGAUGAAAGAAAUAUGGGUUUUUGUGUGGUGAUGUAAAGAUGUGAAAACAAAUGAGAGGAGGCAAAUGAGUCUAUAGGAAACAAAUGGCAAAUGAGUUAUGGUUUUGAUCUGAUGUGGUCUGUAAUGAGUGGCUCAUGUUUUGAUUUCCUCAAGUUAACACUAUGUGAUGUUUGUUUUAGAUAAGUUUUUAGUCUCCCUGUUAAGAUAAUUGAUAAGAAGUAAACCACUUCUCUGUGACAAAAAAAAAACCACUUCUAGCCGCACGAAAACAAGCAAUAUGUAUCUUCUAUACUUCAUGGUUCUUUUGAUUUGUCUUAAUUAUAUAGACUAGGUCGACACCCGCGCUACGCCGCGGGAAAAUGUCUAUAGAAUUCUGUAAUUUGAUGCAACUAACAUUUCAUGUUUACUUCGUCUGAAUAAUCGAACACUUUUAGCUUAACUUUAAAUAUGUUGUUUUGUGAUUUAUUUUUCUUGGUUUUGGCACUUCCUUUUUUGACACAAAUUUAAUAAUUUACUUUUAUUUAGAGUUGAAAGAUGUUUUUGACAGUUUGGAGCAAAGACCAUAAGGUCACGAAGCAAUACUUAAAGAAACAGACAGAUGUACUUAAAGACAAUAAUAAUGAUUUUGAUUUACCAUCUUGACGAAAAAAAUGCAGCGGAGGAGUAUAUAAUAAUGAUUUUGCUUUACCAUCUUAAAGACAACUUGAUUCUAACGACAAUGAUUUUUUGGGUAUUUGUGGUGGCGAUAUGAACAUAAUGACGAACCCAACUGGAAAAUUAGAGAAGCUUAGGUGUACAUUGACAUGUAGAAUUGAAAUGUUUUUAUUGGUCUUUUAACUUUUUUCAUUUAUUGAUAUGGAAGUCUCACAAACUUCUAAAAAUCUGAUGUGUCAUUCAUUGGAGAGAACCUUGUGCUAUUAUUGUGUUGAUUUGCAAAAUGGUACUUGAUUUUAAAUAUUUUAUUAAAGUGAUAAUUGGAUAUUGAAGUUUAGGAGAGAGUGGAGUUGCCGAUGAAAGUGAUAAAACUAGAACAGAGCAUGGAGAGACGCACGGUGGAUAUUUGCUUAUUUUUGGAGGUUUCGGAUAUUUGAAUAGAAACGUGGAAGACUUUAAUUGGAGAGAUGGGGAUUAUGCGUUUAAGGUCUGAAGUUGAAUGAGUGUUUUAUGUGGGUCCCAGUGACACGUUCCAUAUAUCCCUUCAGCUUCGAAUCUUUUAUUUCUUCUCCGGGGACCAAAAUGAAUUAGACCAAAGCUCUCUCUUUUGCUCAAGGCCCUUGACAAAGUUCUUUCAAGCCUUGUAUCACCAGUCAACAAAGACAAUUAUAUAACGAGAACUGAAACCACCACAAUUUUAACAUGCAUGAAUGCCAGUUUCACCACUGGUAUAUAAGUAUAUAACCAAAAAAGGAGACUUGAACGAGUACAUAAACUCUCUGUAAAAAAAAUCUGAUAUAAGUUAUUUAAAGAAAUAGCAUCCAACAUGUUUUCUAUGCAAAUAACAUUCAGACCAAAACGAGAGACUCGAAAUAGUUUGUGGCUAUGGUUGUUUUAAUAAUUCAACUCACUUCCUCAAGAGAAAUAAUAAUCCAAAUAUUCAGAGUUGAUAUUGUGUUACAGACGGAGAAGAUACUGAAGAAAAAAGCCCUACAGAAAUAGCCGAACAAACCCACUCUCUCUUGCAACUAUAGUAACUAAGAAAUUUACCACAACAUAACGCACCCGAACGGUAAAAUGGUAAUUACAUUCAUACGAGAUAUUUCAAACCUUUUUUUAUCUAAGGGGAAAAUUACCACCAUCCUGUCCUGUCUCCCUUCGUUUUACUUGUUCCCCCUAAAGUAGAGGUAAAUUUUCUGCACACCCACAACGAAACACGAUCAAUUCAGAUGUUGGCCGGUUAUCCCUUUGCGGUUAACAAUUGUUAAAGAAGCCAUGGAGUUACUAUCAGUAGCUUACCUGAAGAACCCAUAGACUCAGAAGUGACUCCAAGCAGAAGAGACCAAAACCGAUAAAGUAGAAGAUCUGCAUUCAUUCAUUAAGUUUGGUUUAGCUUAGCUAUCAUUAAGCUUUCUUCAAGGUGAGCAUAUACAUAUGAGCGUCGUAAAUAAAAAAUAUAAAAUACGGCUUGUACCCCUGCUAAUAAACUGUCUGAGAUGACAUCAAUUGCUGCAAGCACACCCCUGUUGAUCAUAAAAAAAAGAAUGUGAACAAAUUAUCCCAAGGCAAUAAACCAUAAAGAGACCCGGAAUCUUCUAGAGCAUUAAUUUUGACGGUCGACUACGUUUCUCUGUCCGAGAAAGUUUUACAAAGUUGAAUCACAGCUAAAGUGAACGAAGCUCAAAGAAAAAUUAUAGUUAUUAAGUUAAAACUCCUUAUUUUCAAAUCGAUCAAAACAAUUUAGAAUUUUCCAAGUGAAAAUACUCACUAGACUAAUCAACUAUACACGAAGUAACACAUAAAGUUCGAGCGCAAAGGGAAUCUUUGGCUAUGAUUGAAAGACUUACGUCAAAGACUUUCCCUGGAAAAAGAUGGGCGGGGCAAUGGCGGCAACGAUGCAGAAGCCAAUGUGAAUCUGUGAGGAGGCAUAGGUCAAUCAUAUGGGAAAUGGAAACUACAUCUACUUCUAGGUAAGGUACAAAAUUUUAGAUAUGAAAAGUUUGUAUGACUCACCAAGUAAGUGAAGAAAAACCAACCAAACUUCAAAGCGCUGUCAGUCCUACAAGGUCGUAAAAAGUAUACCAGUUAUAUAAACUGUCCAGUAAAUAAUGACUUGUACUAAAACCAUUGAAGAAAACUAGUUAAAAGGAGCACUACCUCAUGGCUCGGUAGAGAGGCCUGUACCAUACAACAUAAGAAAGUGGACAUCCCAUCAACGCAUAUAUCGUGGCAAGGAAAAAGAUUUUUACACCUAUCAUGAAUAUUAAACAACAAGCAUUAGUUCAACUUCAACCAAAUCCAAUCAGAACUUCAUUACCCAUAGAAAUAAAACAUAAAGUGAUAGUGUCAAGCUCACCUCCGCCUUUAAUCCAACAGACCAUGGUUGCAAUCACAUUGAAUACCAGACACAUAACUAUACCUGAAAGCCAGCAGUAUAGUAUAAUACAAUGCUGUCAAUUAAACGCAGUAGAAACAUUUCAUAGAAAAGGACAGACAAACUAAAGUAGACUCACCUAGCCAACUAGCGAAAGCUAGAUACUGCAGCUUUUGAGCAUGAACUGGUAUCUCAUUAGCAAUGUCAUGGUGUAUGAUUGGGAAAAACGGGGGCCAGUUUUUAUCAUCUAUUUGAACACCAGCUGCAACAAAAUAAGAUGAGAACAGUUAGCUAUUUAUCCACCACCGCUACAGUUAGAUAAAACUUAAAAUAUUAUCAUCAACUGUUGUUUGGCUUACAAUUAGCAAUAGCAUCCUCCCUCCGCUUAAUAUCCUGAGUGAAGAGAAUAUACAGAGUUGUACAAACAAAAAUUAGUCAGCAGCACGGUGAGGUUAUAUUUGACAAAGACAUAUCAUCAAGUGGUUGGUGUUACUAACCAUUUCUUUCUUGCUAAGCUCAGCUUCCCAGUCAGCAAGCUUUCUUUGUUUCUGUGAAGAGUCCUGCAGCAGUUAAAAACGCAAGUGAGAAGAGGGUUUAUUAUGAGUUCAGGAGAAAGAAGUGAGUACAUUGAUGGUAUCCAAGGGAAUAUCAACAGUAGCAUCGAGGCUUUGGCCAAAUCCAACUGGUCUAGAUGCAGCAGGAACCCUUCCGCCGCCUUUCUGCAAAUAACAAUCAGUAAAACAAUCUAAUGUCAGUAGUAACCAACUUCACCAUUGAGUUUGAUAAUCCAAAUCUAAAGGAAUGAGUCUCAAUCAUAAAGACUACUACUACACAAUCCUAAACUAGUUCCCAGAUCCAACGAUACAGUUCAGUACAGAUGAAAAAUCGGGGAUCGAUAACCUCAGCACUGCUCGAAACAGAGAUGAGAGAUAUAGAUUCAUAACGCAGAAAAUCCAAAAGCGACUUAGAGAAAGUGCAAAGCGGAGAUUUAGUGAGAAAGAGUUUACGGAGAAGGGAUUGACGAUUUCUUCAUCUUCCUCAUCGAAAGGGUUGGGGUCGUGGUGGCGAUUCAUCGUUGGUUGCACUCAGAUCCCUUUGUUUUACUUUUACCAACUCGAAUCUUGUUAUAUCCGAUAAGGAAAAAGAAAACACUAGGAAACUGAUUUGGAUGGACUCUCUCUCUCUCUUGCUCAACACAUGCGAGACGCGUGACUUGGUUGGAACCAUUGCUACUUGUAAAAACGACCCUUAAAAGCAUAUGGGCCGUUAUUGCUAAUUGGUCUAACUUUCAAGGUGGGCCUAAUUACAUGCAUUAUGAUUUACCGUGUUUAAAAAUAUAAUUACUUUGAGACACCAAAUCCAGAGUUGAUUUUCAGACUUUCUUUAUCAUUAAUACCAAAAAAAAAAAAUGUCUUCUAAAAAAAUGUACUCGCCGCUAACUGUUGUUAGGAUUAAGUUUUUGUCUCCAAGAUCGUUGAGAUUAUUAAACCUAUAGUUUCAAACGUCUGAAUUAGAGAAAUAAGCGAGCAAAUUAGUUUUUUUGCUGGAUCACAAACAAGCAAAAUUUUUUUUUUUCAUAUUUUAUAAGUAGACCUUAUACAAUAUUAAUCGGUUACAAACAUCACUGCGGUUAAGGUACACAGUAUCGAGUAUUCGAGUGCUUUUUAUUUCAACUGAAAUACUUACCUUUAUAUAUUUUUGAAACAAAGCGAAUGUCCACGAGACGUAAACAAAGUACAAUUCACAAGUUAUUAAACCGGCGACGAACGGGGUGAAUCGGCUCCGGUACUGUUUGCUCGAGAGUUAUUUAUCUUGAUUUCGUUGAAAGUAUUGUAAGCAACAAAGGAGAACCAGCAAAACUAGAGAAUGAGAAGAACGAAAGCUAACUCUGUACUAACGACAGAGAUGAGCACGGAAGCGGCAAGACCACCCAACAGAUGGCUCGUGCGCCCGACGAGUCUGGCGAUAACCCCGAAACGUCGAUUCACAUCAAUGGCUUCGCGUACUCGAAAGACAGCGUAGAAGAAAACGAGGAGACUAAAACAGGUCUAUGUUGGUUUAUGUGUUUUCAAAACAGAGGACUGUUGUCUCACAAGGUGAAGAAGUAACCCUAAGACUACGACAUUGAUCAUGAACACGACCUUAUGAACUGCAGUAGAGUAGACGGUAAACUUAUCUUUUUCAUCGCCGGACGUUGGGAGUGCUUGGUCGAUGGAUGAGACGGAGCCUGACUCCAUAGUUUCUAUCUGUGGACUUAGGUUCAGCCAACAACUCCAAGUGGGCUUCGCGUUCUGCGGCCCAGCUCACGCGAAACCUGCAUCAAAGAUUCAAGCCCAAGUCUCAGCCAAACGUUGUGUUUCGUAAGAGGCAAGUGGAUGAGUUUGGCAUCAUCACUAUCACAAAGUACAUAGACGAUCAAGAGAUCAGAUCGAGAGAGAGAAGAAGACUUAGCUUGAGGCCAUGAGGUUGAAGCUCGACGGAGUCAUGAAAGCGGUACACGAUCAGGUUGGAUCAUCCCUGCGGUGACUUUCCGGCUUCAUAGAGGAAGUGAUAAGCUCGCUAUUACUCUCUUGUUGCUCUGUUUUUUGGUUUAAGCGAUUCACCAUUGUUUGUAACCUUGAUCUCUGAUAGUGAAGCAGUUGAGGGAUGUCGUUCCCUCCCCGAUGAGUAGAUCAGCGAACACCGGGUGAACAAAUUGGCUUGUGUUGUUCUUUGAUUUGGUACUUCGAUCGCAAAUCUGAAAAGAAAACAAGUCGAAUCUAUCAAUCACUCAAGCAAGAUCUAAACCUAGAAAUUGAUCUUAAAUCUCUAUAAGUGGUAUCAGAGCACAAGGUUGGGUGCUAAGACUACAGUAAGAUCAGAUCUGAUAGGUGAAGGGAGAGAGAUCUCUUAUAUGUGAUUGUGUCUUGCGAUCGUUGUGGUUUGAGAUAUUCUUGCUUGUGUUGCUGUGAUUGUUGCAGUUUCAUCUUCUGUGUGAAGUGAAUCUCGAGGUCUCUAUGGUUCAAGAUGGAACGAACUCUAGGGAAAUUAGAGAUGGAUAAGUUCCAUGGUAAAGGAGACUUCGGGAUGUGGAAGUUCAAGAUGAUGGGACAUCUUGAGAUCCAAGGGCUUCUGGUAGCCAUAACUGAUGACUUCACGGUUUACUCCUCCUCAUCAGAAAAACAAGAGGAAAGUGAGAAACCAGUGAUUGAUCAGAAGAAGUUUGACAAGGACUUACGGGUGAGAAGCUUACUUGGUACCUGCUUGAGUGAUUCUAUCUUGCGGAAGGUCAUGCACGAGCAGACAACUCUUGGUAUGUGGAAAUCUUUGGAGAAGAUGUAUCAGCUCAAGUCUCUUCCAAACAUGAUCUAUCUAGAGAAGCAGUUUUCCUGUUACAAAAUGGAAGAAGACAAAUCAAUUGAAGAGAAUGUGGAUGUAUUCUUAAAGCUAGUAGAUGAUCUGGAAAGUAUAAAAGUUACCGUAUCAUACAAGGAUCGAUAGUUGGGAGAAAAUGUUUUUCUCUAAGCGGAGAACACAAUAAAACCUUGAAGCUCAAAAUUGUCGAGGAUUAACCUAGUAUGGGACAUGCUUAAAGCGGAUACAAGUAUAAAUUGAGCUUCAAAGUUUUUUUUUCGAGCUCUUUUGCUUCUUCGAGGUUCAUCUUUUUUUUUUCCUGAAGUAUCAUUUAUAGAGAUUUCGAUGUUUGUCUCCGUUUCUGAAUCCUUGUCGCUGCUCUUUUUUCUCGAGUUCGUUUUGAACCUUGUUUUUUAAAGUAUUUUCGAAAAAGAUGUGGGGCGUUUCCCAAGCGACGUGGGAAAUAUCGACAUUUCUAUUGCUGAAACUCUAAUUCAAAAGUUUUAGUAAUGGUAAUAGUUUUAGUAUAGGUUCUUCCACAUAAUGGUAAUAGUUUUAGUAACAGUCUUUGGUCCAUUGCUGAAACUUUAAUUCAAAAGUUUGUGUCAAUUUAUAAGCUGAUUAUUAGCAAGAUUAUAAGCAAGAUUUCUCUAAUUUAUAGAUUGUUUUAAUUAAAGUGAUUAUGGAAUUAAGCAGAGAUUAUAUGUAUAGAUUCUUGAUUAAUACUCACUUUUUUACAAAUGACACAGACAAAGAGUCUGUAGAGUAGUUUGACUAGUAAAGUUGGGAUCCAUUAAAAAAAUGUUAAAUACAGUUAGGUAUUUGGUGUUUUAGGGCAUCUCCAACUCUACUCCAUUUUUUACUCUAAACUCAAUUAUGGAGUAAAAUAUUCUCCAACCCCACUCUAUAUUCAAUUCCAAAAUAGAGUAAUGACUAGGGUUACUCUAUUUAUAGAGUAAUCUUACCCAUUACUCCAUUUUGGAGUUAAACUUUUUAUACUUGUUCCCCCUAAAGUAGAGGUAAAUUUUCUGCACACCCACAACGAAACACGAUCAAUUCAGAUGUUGGCCGGUUAUCCCUUUGCGGUUAACAAUUGUUAAAGAAGCCAUGGAGUUACUAUCAGUAGCUUACCUGAAGAACCCAUAGACUCAGAAGUGACUCCAAGCAGAAGAGACCAAAACCGAUAAAGUAGAAGAUCUGCAUUCAUUCAUUAAGUUUGGUUUAGCUUAGCUAUCAUUAAGCUUUCUUCAAGGUGAGCAUAUACAUAUGAGCGUCGUAAAUAAAAAAUAUAAAAUACGGCUUGUACCCCUGCUAAUAAACUGUCUGAGAUGACAUCAAUUGCUGCAAGCACACCCCUGUUGAUCAUAAAAAAAAGAAUGUGAACAAAUUAUCCCAAGGCAAUAAACCAUAAAGAGACCCGGAAUCUUCUAGAGCAUUAAUUUUGACGGUCGACUACGUUUCUCUGUCCGAGAAAGUUUUACAAAGUUGAAUCACAGCUAAAGUGAACGAAGCUCAAAGAAAAAUUAUAGUUAUUAAGUUAAAACUCCUUAUUUUCAAAUCGAUCAAAACAAUUUAGAAUUUUCCAAGUGAAAAUACUCACUAGACUAAUCAACUAUACACGAAGUAACACAUAAAGUUCGAGCGCAAAGGGAAUCUUUGGCUAUGAUUGAAAGACUUACGUCAAAGACUUUCCCUGGAAAAAGAUGGGCGGGGCAAUGGCGGCAACGAUGCAGAAGCCAAUGUGAAUCUGUGAGGAGGCAUAGGUCAAUCAUAUGGGAAAUGGAAACUACAUCUACUUCUAGGUAAGGUACAAAAUUUUAGAUAUGAAAAGUUUGUAUGACUCACCAAGUAAGUGAAGAAAAACCAACCAAACUUCAAAGCGCUGUCAGUCCUACAAGGUCGUAAAAAGUAUACCAGUUAUAUAAACUGUCCAGUAAAUAAUGACUUGUACUAAAACCAUUGAAGAAAACUAGUUAAAAGGAGCACUACCUCAUGGCUCGGUAGAGAGGCCUGUACCAUACAACAUAAGAAAGUGGACAUCCCAUCAACGCAUAUAUCGUGGCAAGGAAAAAGAUUUUUACACCUAUCAUGAAUAUUAAACAACAAGCAUUAGUUCAACUUCAACCAAAUCCAAUCAGAACUUCAUUACCCAUAGAAAUAAAACAUAAAGUGAUAGUGUCAAGCUCACCUCCGCCUUUAAUCCAACAGACCAUGGUUGCAAUCACAUUGAAUACCAGACACAUAACUAUACCUGAAAGCCAGCAGUAUAGUAUAAUACAAUGCUGUCAAUUAAACGCAGUAGAAACAUUUCAUAGAAAAGGACAGACAAACUAAAGUAGACUCACCUAGCCAACUAGCGAAAGCUAGAUACUGCAGCUUUUGAGCAUGAACUGGUAUCUCAUUAGCAAUGUCAUGGUGUAUGAUUGGGAAAAACGGGGGCCAGUUUUUAUCAUCUAUUUGAACACCAGCUGCAACAAAAUAAGAUGAGAACAGUUAGCUAUUUAUCCACCACCGCUACAGUUAGAUAAAACUUAAAAUAUUAUCAUCAACUGUUGUUUGGCUUACAAUUAGCAAUAGCAUCCUCCCUCCGCUUAAUAUCCUGAGUGAAGAGAAUAUACAGAGUUGUACAAACAAAAAUUAGUCAGCAGCACGGUGAGGUUAUAUUUGACAAAGACAUAUCAUCAAGUGGUUGGUGUUACUAACCAUUUCUUUCUUGCUAAGCUCAGCUUCCCAGUCAGCAAGCUUUCUUUGUUUCUGUGAAGAGUCCUGCAGCAGUUAAAAACGCAAGUGAGAAGAGGGUUUAUUAUGAGUUCAGGAGAAAGAAGUGAGUACAUUGAUGGUAUCCAAGGGAAUAUCAACAGUAGCAUCGAGGCUUUGGCCAAAUCCAACUGGUCUAGAUGCAGCAGGAACCCUUCCGCCGCCUUUCUGCAAAUAACAAUCAGUAAAACAAUCUAAUGUCAGUAGUAACCAACUUCACCAUUGAGUUUGAUAAUCCAAAUCUAAAGGAAUGAGUCUCAAUCAUAAAGACUACUACUACACAAUCCUAAACUAGUUCCCAGAUCCAACGAUACAGUUCAGUACAGAUGAAAAAUCGGGGAUCGAUAACCUCAGCACUGCUCGAAACAGAGAUGAGAGAUAUAGAUUCAUAACGCAGAAAAUCCAAAAGCGACUUAGAGAAAGUGCAAAGCGGAGAUUUAGUGAGAAAGAGUUUACGGAGAAGGGAUUGACGAUUUCUUCAUCUUCCUCAUCGAAAGGGUUGGGGUCGUGGUGGCGAUUCAUCGUUGGUUGCACUCAGAUCCCUUUGUUUUACUUUUACCAACUCGAAUCUUGUUAUAUCCGAUAAGGAAAAAGAAAACACUAGGAAACUGAUUUGGAUGGACUCUCUCUCUCUCUUGCUCAACACAUGCGAGACGCGUGACUUGGUUGGAACCAUUGCUACUUGUAAAAACGACCCUUAAAAGCAUAUGGGCCGUUAUUGCUAAUUGGUCUAACUUUCAAGGUGGGCCUAAUUACAUGCAUUAUGAUUUACCGUGUUUAAAAAUAUAAUUACUUUGAGACACCAAAUCCAGAGUUGAUUUUCAGACUUUCUUUAUCAUUAAUACCAAAAAAAAAAAAUGUCUUCUAAAAAAAUGUACUCGCCGCUAACUGUUGUUAGGAUUAAGUUUUUGUCUCCAAGAUCGUUGAGAUUAUUAAACCUAUAGUUUCAAACGUCUGAAUUAGAGAAAUAAGCGAGCAAAUUAGUUUUUUUGCUGGAUCACAAACAAGCAAAAUUUUUUUUUUUCAUAUUUUAUAAGUAGACCUUAUACAAUAUUAAUCGGUUACAAACAUCACUGCGGUUAAGGUACACAGUAUCGAGUAUUCGAGUGCUUUUUAUUUCAACUGAAAUACUUACCUUUAUAUAUUUUUGAAACAAAGCGAAUGUCCACGAGACGUAAACAAAGUACAAUUCACAAGUUAUUAAACCGGCGACGAACGGGGUGAAUCGGCUCCGGUACUGUUUGCUCGAGAGUUAUUUAUCUUGAUUUCGUUGAAAGUAUUGUAAGCAACAAAGGAGAACCAGCAAAACUAGAGAAUGAGAAGAACGAAAGCUAACUCUGUACUAACGACAGAGAUGAGCACGGAAGCGGCAAGACCACCCAACAGAUGGCUCGUGCGCCCGACGAGUCUGGCGAUAACCCCGAAACGUCGAUUCACAUCAAUGGCUUCGCGUACUCGAAAGACAGCGUAGAAGAAAACGAGGAGACUAAAACAGGUCUAUGUUGGUUUAUGUGUUUUCAAAACAGAGGACUGUUGUCUCACAAGGUGAAGAAGUAACCCUAAGACUACGACAUUGAUCAUGAACACGACCUUAUGAACUGCAGUAGAGUAGACGGUAAACUUAUCUUUUUCAUCGCCGGACGUUGGGAGUGCUUGGUCGAUGGAUGAGACGGAGCCUGACUCCAUAGUUUCUAUCUGUGGACUUAGGUUCAGCCAACAACUCCAAGUGGGCUUCGCGUUCUGCGGCCCAGCUCACGCGAAACCUGCAUCAAAGAUUCAAGCCCAAGUCUCAGCCAAACGUUGUGUUUCGUAAGAGGCAAGUGGAUGAGUUUGGCAUCAUCACUAUCACAAAGUACAUAGACGAUCAAGAGAUCAGAUCGAGAGAGAGAAGAAGACUUAGCUUGAGGCCAUGAGGUUGAAGCUCGACGGAGUCAUGAAAGCGGUACACGAUCAGGUUGGAUCAUCCCUGCGGUGACUUUCCGGCUUCAUAGAGGAAGUGAUAAGCUCGCUAUUACUCUCUUGUUGCUCUGUUUUUUGGUUUAAGCGAUUCACCAUUGUUUGUAACCUUGAUCUCUGAUAGUGAAGCAGUUGAGGGAUGUCGUUCCCUCCCCGAUGAGUAGAUCAGCGAACACCGGGUGAACAAAUUGGCUUGUGUUGUUCUUUGAUUUGGUACUUCGAUCGCAAAUCUGAAAAGAAAACAAGUCGAAUCUAUCAAUCACUCAAGCAAGAUCUAAACCUAGAAAUUGAUCUUAAAUCUCUAUAAGUGGUAUCAGAGCACAAGGUUGGGUGCUAAGACUACAGUAAGAUCAGAUCUGAUAGGUGAAGGGAGAGAGAUCUCUUAUAUGUGAUUGUGUCUUGCGAUCGUUGUGGUUUGAGAUAUUCUUGCUUGUGUUGCUGUGAUUGUUGCAGUUUCAUCUUCUGUGUGAAGUGAAUCUCGAGGUCUCUAUGGUUCAAGAUGGAACGAACUCUAGGGAAAUUAGAGAUGGAUAAGUUCCAUGGUAAAGGAGACUUCGGGAUGUGGAAGUUCAAGAUGAUGGGACAUCUUGAGAUCCAAGGGCUUCUGGUAGCCAUAACUGAUGACUUCACGGUUUACUCCUCCUCAUCAGAAAAACAAGAGGAAAGUGAGAAACCAGUGAUUGAUCAGAAGAAGUUUGACAAGGACUUACGGGUGAGAAGCUUACUUGGUACCUGCUUGAGUGAUUCUAUCUUGCGGAAGGUCAUGCACGAGCAGACAACUCUUGGUAUGUGGAAAUCUUUGGAGAAGAUGUAUCAGCUCAAGUCUCUUCCAAACAUGAUCUAUCUAGAGAAGCAGUUUUCCUGUUACAAAAUGGAAGAAGACAAAUCAAUUGAAGAGAAUGUGGAUGUAUUCUUAAAGCUAGUAGAUGAUCUGGAAAGUAUAAAAGUUACCGUAUCAUACAAGGAUCGAUAGUUGGGAGAAAAUGUUUUUCUCUAAGCGGAGAACACAAUAAAACCUUGAAGCUCAAAAUUGUCGAGGAUUAACCUAGUAUGGGACAUGCUUAAAGCGGAUACAAGUAUAAAUUGAGCUUCAAAGUUUUUUUUUCGAGCUCUUUUGCUUCUUCGAGGUUCAUCUUUUUUUUUUCCUGAAGUAUCAUUUAUAGAGAUUUCGAUGUUUGUCUCCGUUUCUGAAUCCUUGUCGCUGCUCUUUUUUCUCGAGUUCGUUUUGAACCUUGUUUUUUAAAGUAUUUUCGAAAAAGAUGUGGGGCGUUUCCCAAGCGACGUGGGAAAUAUCGACAUUUCUAUUGCUGAAACUCUAAUUCAAAAGUUUUAGUAAUGGUAAUAGUUUUAGUAUAGGUUCUUCCACAUAAUGGUAAUAGUUUUAGUAACAGUCUUUGGUCCAUUGCUGAAACUUUAAUUCAAAAGUUUGUGUCAAUUUAUAAGCUGAUUAUUAGCAAGAUUAUAAGCAAGAUUUCUCUAAUUUAUAGAUUGUUUUAAUUAAAGUGAUUAUGGAAUUAAGCAGAGAUUAUAUGUAUAGAUUCUUGAUUAAUACUCACUUUUUUACAAAUGACACAGACAAAGAGUCUGUAGAGUAGUUUGACUAGUAAAGUUGGGAUCCAUUAAAAAAAUGUUAAAUACAGUUAGGUAUUUGGUGUUUUAGGGCAUCUCCAACUCUACUCCAUUUUUUACUCUAAACUCAAUUAUGGAGUAAAAUAUUCUCCAACCCCACUCUAUAUUCAAUUCCAAAAUAGAGUAAUGACUAGGGUUACUCUAUUUAUAGAGUAAUCUUACCCAUUACUCCAUUUUGGAGUUAAACUUUUUAUAUUUAUGAAAUGGUCAUUUUAAUCUUUAAUGUUUUUAUUUCAUACUUAAAAUAAUAUAAUAACAUGAAAAAUAUAAUAUUCCACAAAAGAUUACUUUAUAGUUUACAUAAAAUAUGCAUAAACUCAUAAAAGUCAAAACUAAGAAUAAAUAAUAUAAAAUAAAUAUAGUAUAAUAUAAAUAAGUAAUUUAAUAAAUAAUUCGGUAAAUUGUUUUUGAAACUACCAAAAUCGGUGAAGUAUUACUCAAACGGAAUAGAUGAGUUUUUUAAUCUUGUGAGUCAAAAUUUUGAUUGAUAACAUUUGUACUUGUUGAACUUGAUAUAUGCACAAACAAUAAGAUCCAAUACAUAAUUUAAAUUACAAAACAAAACUUUAUUUUUUCUUUAUGUUCUUUUAAUGCAUAUAAAUAUUUUUUGAAUGAGAAAAAUUCCAUAUGAUAAAAUCUGCACGAAUUGAAAUUGGAAGAUAAUCUCUAGUUGUAUUUUAAUGUUAAAUAUUGAAUUUAAAUAAAAUAUAUUAUUAUGGAAAUUUUGUAAACAUAAAGUAGUUGGGUUAAUUGUUAAAUUUUUAUAAGUUGAAGGUACUACUAACAAUUAUUAACUAAAUGAAAAAAAUAAAUAUUUUGUUUGGAGUAAAAAAAGAAGUAAUACAUUGGAGUAAAACUCAACUCCAUUUUAGAGUAAUACAUUGGAGAUGGUCUUACAUCCAUAGAUUCCAUGCACAAACUACUUUAUAAUGUCUAAGCAAAUAUUUUUUUUGUUAUUUCAGUGAGGCUUAAAUUGGAGAGUGACAUGA
rnacentral:lncRNA from 1 species